rnacentral:rRNA from 1 species
UACGAAGGGGGCUAGCGUUGCUCGGAAUCACUGGGCGUAAAGCGCACGUAGGCGGCUUCUUAAGUCAGGGGUGAAAUCCUGGAGCUCAACUCCAGAACUGCCCUUGAUACUGAGGAGCUCGAGUCCGGAAGAGGUGAGUGGAACUGCGAGUGUAGAGGUGAAAUUCGUAGAUAUUCGCAAGAACACCAGUGGCGAAGGCGGCUCACUGGUCCGGUACUGACGCUGAGGUGCGAAAGCGUGGGGAGCAACAGGGA